CUGCGGAAGGAUCAUUAUUGAAUGAACUUGAUGUAGUUGUCGCUGACCCUCUUGGGGGUAUGUGCACGCUCAUCAUCUUUAUCUCUCCACCUGUGCACCUUUUGUAGACUUGGAUAGUUAAUUUUCUGAGGCAACUCAGUCUUGAGGAUUGCUGUGUUGUUAAAGCCAGCUUUCUUUGUAUAUCCAGGCCUAUGUUUUCAUAUACUCCAAUGAAUGUAAUAGAAUGUAUCAAUGGGCUUUGUGCCUAUAAACUAUAUACAACUUUCAGCAACGGAUCUCUUGGCUCUCGCAUCGAUGAAGAACGCAGCGAAAUGCGAUAAGUAAUGUGAAUUGCAGAAUUCAGUGAAUCAUCGAAUCUUUGAACGCACCUUGCGCUCCUUGGUAUUCCGAGGAGCAUGCCUGUUUGAGUGUCAUUAAAUUCUCAACCUUACCAGCUUUUGCUAGUAAUGGCUUGGAUAUGGGGGUAUUUUUUGCUGGCUUCUUCAAGAGGUCUGCUCCCCUUAAAUGUAUUAGCUGGUGCCCCGCGUGGACUGUCUAUUGGUGUGAUAAUUAUCUACGCCAUGGAUGUCUGCUUUUAAUGGGAUGUGCUGCUUCUAACUGUCUUGUUUUUAAAGACAAUAAAUGACAAUUUGACCUCAAAUCAGGUAGGACUACCCGCUGAACUUAAGC
rnacentral:sRNA from 1 species